CCUACGGGGGGCAGCAGUGGGGAAUUUUGGACAAUGGGGGCAACCCUGAUCCAGCCAUUCCGCGUGAGUGAAGAAGGCCUUCGGGUUGUAAAGCUCUUUCGGCAGGAACGAAACGGUGGCUACUAAUACUAGCCGCUAAUGACGGUACCUGAAGAAGAAGCACCGGCUAACUACGUGCCAGCAGCCGCGGUAAUACGUAGGGUGCGAGCGUUAAUCGGAAUUACUGGGCGUAAAGCGUGCGCAGGCGGUUUUGUAAGACAGAUGUGAAAUCCCCGGGCUU
rnacentral:rRNA from 1 species